GACGAGGGGUCCUAGCGUUGUUCGGAAUCACUGGGCGUAAAGCGUAUGUAGGCGGCUUUCUAAGUCGGUUGUGAAAUCCCAUGGCUUAACCAUGGAAUUGCAUUCGAAACUGGAGAGCUUGAGUGUGGGAGAGAUUGGUAGAAUACCUGGUGUAGUGGUGAAAUACGUAGAUAUCAGGAGGAACACCAGCGGCGAAGGCGGCUCACUGGACCGGUACUGACGCUGAGGCGCGAAAGCGUGGGGAGCAAACAGG
rnacentral:rRNA from 1 species